GACGUAGGGCGCGAGCGUUGUCCGGAUUUAUUGGGCGUAAAGAGCUCGUAGGCGGUGUGUCACGUCGGCCGUGAAAACCUGCAGCUUAACUGUGGGCGUGCGGUCGAUACGGGCAUCACUGGAGUUCGGCAGGGGAGACUGGAAUUCCUGGUGUAGCGGUGAAAUGCGCAGAUAUCAGGAGGAACACCGGUGGCGAAGGCGGGUCUCUGGGCAACAACUGACGCUGAGGAGCGAAAGCGUGGGGAGCGAACAGG
rnacentral:rRNA from 1 species